rnacentral:rRNA from 1 species
CCUACGGGUGGCUGCAGUGGGGAAUAUUGCGCAAUGGGCGAAAGCCUGACGCAGCGACGCCGCGUGCGGGAUGAAGGUCUUCUGAUCGUAAACCUCUGUCAGCAGGGAAGAACGGUCACUGUGCUAAUCAGCACUGAAUUGACGGUACCUGCAAAGGAAGCACCGGCUAACUCCGUGCCAGCAGCCGCGGUAAUACGGAGGGUGCGAGCGUUAAUCGGAAUUACUGGGCGUAAGGGGCUCGUAGGCGGUAGGUCAAGUCAAGGGUGAAAUCCCCGGGCUCAACGUGGGAACUGCCUUUGAAACUGGCAGACUGGAGAGUGUGAGAGGAAGGUGGAAUGCCAGGUGUAGGGGUGAAAUGCGUAGAUAUCAGGAAGAACAUCAGUGGCGAAGGCAACUAACUGGGACAUAACUGACGCUGAGGAGCGAAAGCGUGGGUAGCAAACAGGAUUAGAUACCCGAGUAGUC